AUUGAACGCUGGCGGCAGGCCUAACACAUGCAAGUCGAACGGUAGCACAGAGAGCUUGCUCUCGGGUGACGAGUGGCGGACGGGUGAGUAAUGUCUGGGAAACUGCCCGAUGGAGGGGGAUAACUACUGGAAACGGUAGCUAAUACCGCAUAACGUCGCAAGACCAAAGUGGGGGACCUUCGGGCCUCACACCAUCGGAUGCGCCCAGAUGGGAUUAGCUAGUAGGUGGGGUAAUGGCUCACCUAGGCGACGAUCCCUAGCUGGUCUGAGAGGAUGACCAGCCACACUGGAACUGAGACACGGUCCAGACUCCUACGGGAGGCAGCAGUGGGGAAUAUUGCACAAUGGGCGCGAGCCUGAUGCAGCCAUGCCGCGUGUAUGAAGAAGGCCUUCGGGUUGUAAAGUACUUUCAGCGGGGAGGAAGGCGGUGAAGUUAAUAACUUCACCGAUUGACGUUACCCGCAGAAGAAGCACCGGCUAACUCCGUGCCAGCAGCCGCCGCAG
rnacentral:rRNA from 1 species